GACGAACGCUGGCGGCGUGCUUAACACAUGCAAGUCGAACGGCAAGGCAGUACUUUUUUGCUGUGCUCGAGUGGCGAACGGGUGCGUAACACGUGAGUAACCUGCCCUUUACUUUGGGAUAACUUCAGGAAACUGGGGCUAAUACCGGAUAGGAUCUCCUGCUCGAUGGUAGGGGUUGGAAAGUUGCGGCGGUCGGGGAUGGACUCGCGGCUCAUGAGCUUGUUGGUGGGGUAGUGGCUUACCAACGCUGUGGCUGGUCGCCUGCCUGGGAGCUGGGCCGGGGACAUUGGUACUGAGGGAGGCCGCAGAAGCGUACUGGGGGCAGUAGGGGGAAAUAUGACACAAUGGUCCGGAGCCGGAGGCGGCAGCGCCGCGGUCGUGAGGACGUCAUGCGGGUUGUGAACCGCUGUCGCCUGAGACGAAGCGGUAGUGACGGUAAUGGGUAAAGAAGCACCGGCUAACUACGUG
rnacentral:rRNA from 1 species